CAGUAGCCGCGGGAAUACGUAGGUGGCAAGCGUUGUCCGGAAUUAUUGGGCGUAAAGGGCUCGCAGGCGGUUUCUUAAGUCUGAUGUGAAAGCCCCCGGCUCAACCGGGGAGGGUCAUUGGAAACUGGGAAACUUGAGUGCAGAAGAGGAGAGUGGAACUCCACGUGUAGCGGUGAAAUGCGUAGAGAUGUGGAGGAACACCAGUGGCGAAGGCGACUCUCUGGUCUGUAACUGACGCUGAGGAGCGAAAGCGUGGGGAGCGAACAGGAUUAGAUACCCCAGUAGUCCCUGUCUCUUAUAC
rnacentral:rRNA from 1 species